rnacentral:rRNA from 1 species
ACAGCAGCAGCCACGGGAAUACGAAGGGUGCAAGCGUUACUCGGAAUUACUGGGCGUAAAGCGUGCGUAGGUGGUUGUUUAAGUCUGCUGUGAAAGCCCUGGGCUCAACCUGGGAAUUGCAGUGGAUACUGGGCAACUAGAGUAAGGUAGAGGAUAGUGGAAUUUCCGGUGUAGCAGUGAAAUGCGUAGAGAUCGGAAGGAACAUCUGUGGCGAAGGCGACUAUCUGGGCCAUUACUGACACUGAGGCACGAAAGCGUGGGGAGCAAACAGGAUUAGAUACCCCAGUAGUCCCUGUCUCUUAUAC